GACGAACGCUGGCGGCGUGCUUAACACAUGCAAGUCGAGCGGUAAGGCCCUUUCGGGGGUACACGAGCGGCGAACGGGUGAGUAACACGUGGGUGACCUGCCCUCAGCUCUGGGAUAAGCCUGGGAAACUGGGUCUAAUACUGGAUAUGACUCCACGGUGCAUGUCGUGGGGUGGAAAGCCUUGUGCGGCUGAGGAUGGGCCCGCGGCCUAUCAGCUUGUUGGUGGGGNGAUGGCCUACCAAGGCGACGACGGGUAGCCGGCCUGAGAGGGCGACCGGCCACACUGGGACUGAGACACGGCCCAGACUCCUACGGGAGGCAGCAGUGGGGAAUCUUGCGCAAUGGGCGAAAGCCUGACGCAGCAACGCCGCGUGGAGGAUGAAGGCCCUUGGGUGUAAACUCCUGUCGGUUGGGAAGAAAUCGUUCGGGCUCAUACCUCCGAACGUUACUGUACCAGCAAAGGAAGCCCCGGCUAACUCUGUGCCAGCCGCCGCCGUAAU
rnacentral:rRNA from 1 species